rnacentral:rRNA from 1 species
AGAGAUGCACUGGGUUUAAAGUGUGCGCAGGCGGUUUUGUAAGACAGAGGUGAAAUCCCGGGGCUCAACCUGGGAACUGCCUUUGUGACUGCAAGGCUGGAGUACGGCAGAGGGGGAUGGAAUUCCGCGUGUAGCAGUGAAAUGCGUAGAUAUGCGGAGGAACACCGAUGGCGAAGGCAAUCCCCUGGGCCUGUACUGACGCUCAUGCACGAAAGCGUGGGGAGCAAACA